rnacentral:rRNA from 1 species
UCGAGCGGAUGACGGGAGCUUGCUCCUUGAUUCAGCGGCGGACGGGUGAGUAAUGCCUAGGAAUCUGCCUGGUAGUGGGGGACAACGUUUCGAAAGGAACGCUAAUACCGCAUACGUCCUACGGGAGAAAGCAGGGGACCUUCGGGCCUUGCGCUAUCAGAUGAGCCUAGGUCGGAUUAGCUAGUUGGUGGGGUAAUGGCUCACCAAGGCGACGAUCCGUAACUGGUCUGAGAGGAUGAUCAGUCACACUGGAACUGAGACACGGUCCAGACUCCUACGGGAGGCAGCAGUGGGGAAUAUUGGACAAUGGGCGAAAGCCUGAUCCAGCCAUGCCGCGUGUGUGAAGAAGGUCUUCGGAUUGUAAAGCACUUUAAGUUGGGAGGAAGGGCAGUAAGCUAAUACCUUGCUGUUUUGACGUUACCGACAGAAUAAGCACCGGCUAACUCUGUGCCAGCAGCCGCGGUAAUACAGAGGGUGCAAGCGUUAAUCGGAAUUACUGGGCGUAAAGCGCGCGUAGGUGGUUUGUUAAGUUGGACGUGAAAGCCCCGGGCCCAACCUGGGAACUGCAUCCAAAACUGGCAAGCUAGAGUACGGUAGAGGGUGGUGGAAUUCCCUGUGUAGCGGUGAAAUGCGUAGAUAUAGGAAGGAACACCAGUGGCGAAGGCGAC